rnacentral:rRNA from 1 species
UACGUAGGGUGCAAGCGUUGUCCGGAAUUAUUGGGCGUAAAGAGCUCGUAGGCGGUUUGUUACGUCGGCUGUGAAAACCUGGGGCUCAACCCCGGGCCUGCAGCCGAUACGGGCAGACUAGAAUUCGGUAGGGGAGACUGGAAUUUCUGGUGUAGCGGUGAAAUGCGCAGAUAUCAGAAGGAACACCGGUGGCGAAGGCGGGUCUCUGGGCCGAUAUUGACGCUGAGGAGCGAAAGCGUGGGUAGCAAACAGG